UAAAGAAUUUCGGUCAUCGAUGGGGAUGCGUUCCAUUAGCUUGUUGGCGGGGUAACAGCCCACCAAGGCAUCGAUGGAUAGGGGUUCUGAGAGGAAGGUCCCCCACAUUGGAACUGAGACACGGUCCAAACUCCUACGGGAGGCAGCAGUGAGGAAUAUUGGUCAAUGGGCGCUAGCCUGAACCAGCCAAGUAGCGUGAAGGAUGACUGCCCUAUGGGUUGUAAACUUCUUUUAUAUGGGAAUAAAGUGCAGUAUGUAUACUGCUUUGCAUGUACCUUAUGAAUAAGGAUCGGCUAACUCCGUGCCAGCAGCCGCGGUAAUACGGAGGAUCCGAGCGUUAUCCGGAUUUAUUGGGUUUAAAGGGAGCGUAGGCGGGUUGUUAAGUCAGUUGUGAAAGUUUGCGGCUCAACCGUAAAAUUGCAGUUGAUACUGGCAUCCUUGAGUACAGUAGAGGUAGGCGGAAUUCGUGGUGUAGCGGUGAAAUGCUUAGAUAUCACGAAGAACUCCGAUUGCGAAGGCAGCCUGCUGGACUGUAACUGACGCUGAUGCUCGAAAGUGUGGGUAUCAAACAGGAUUAGAUACCCUGGUAGUCCACACAGUAAACGAUGAAUACUCGCUGUUUGCGAUAUACAGUAA
rnacentral:rRNA from 1 species